GUGUUUAAUUCGAAGCAACGCGAAGAACCUUACCAGGUCUUGACAUCCCGAUGCUAUUUCUAGAGAUAGAAAGUUACUUCGGUACAUCGGUGACAGGUGGUGCAUGGUUGUCGUCAGCUCGUGUCGUGAGAUGUUGGGUUAAGUCCCGCAACGAGCGCAACCCCUAUUGUUAGUUGCCAUCAUUCAGUUGGGCACUCUAGCGAGACUGCCGGUAAUAAACCGGAGGAAGUGGGGAUGACGUCAAAUCAUCAUGCCCCUUAUGACCUGGGCUACACACGUGCUACAAUGGUUGGUACAACGAGUUGCGAGUCGGUGACGGCGAGCUAAUCUCUUAAAGCCAAUCUCAGUUCGGAUUGUAGGCUGCAACUCGCCUACAUGAAGUCGGAAUCGCUAGUAAUCGCGGAUCAGCACGCCGCGGUGAAUACGUUCCCGGGCCUU
rnacentral:rRNA from 1 species